AAAACAGGGGUGCUGGAAGGCUGAGAGUUGUACUGUGCGGUACAUCAACCCUUUAACCUGAUCCGGGUAAUGCCGGCGUAGGAAGUUUCU
rnacentral:ncRNA from 1 species